AUAAAUAAAAAAUUGAAAUACUAUCAUUAUAAACCGGGUAGGGCUUGUGAUUUUACAAGAAGCCUCUAGCUUAUGAAGUUUUUAAUGUCAUGGGAACAUCAAAAAAAUCAGUGGCUAGUGCUAAUGGAGACCAAAAAAAUGCUGCAAUGGCAAAUAUGUUCAAGGAGCUAAACAACUACUAAAGCUUAAGCUCUAGAUGGGUAUUAAAGCUUAAUGUCACAGGAUGCUUCAAAUGACCCUCCCCAUGGGCUUAUAUAGGAGGAGGGAAGCUUCUGGAGACUCCUGGAGCCAUCUACACUAAGCCAUUGGUGAGAAGAGUGUAGAAGGUUCUAGAAAUGCCUAGAGAUGUCCACACAUCUCUACACUAUGGAGGAAGGCAUGGGAGGAAUCCAAGGCUUUCUAGAGACUUCUAGGAAUCUCUUGUAUAUUCUUGUACAUAGGGUUGUACAUAGAAUAGGAUAGGAUGUUCUAGAAUAUUCUUGAUUUGUAAGGAACCCUCCAAGGUUCUAGAGAGCUCCCUUGGUGCCUAUAAAUAGGUGAGGGCCUCAUUUGGCCAAGGCACCACCCAAAUCACUUCCUAACCAAGCAUGUGAGCUUCCAAGCACUUGUAAAGGCUUCCUUGAGUAAUAAGAGCUUCCAUUCUUUAAAAGUUGCCUACUACAACUUCUCAAGCUUCCGAGUCGUGAGCAUCUUAGCCUAGCAAGCUAAGUGUCGGGGGUAAGGCUGACUUAGCAAGAUCAAGUGUCUUGAUUUGCUUAAGUGUCACACGAGCUUAGGAAACGACUAAGUCCGUGACAUUAAGGUCAAAACAUUU
rnacentral:lncRNA from 1 species